rnacentral:rRNA from 1 species
AGUGAACGCUGGCGGUAGGCCUAACACAUGCGAGUCGAACGGCAGCACAGUAAGAGCUUGCUCUUACGGGUGGCGAGUGGCGGACGGGUGAGGAAUACAUCGGAAUCUACUUUUUCGAGGGGGAUAACGUAGGGAAAAUUACGCUAAUACAGCAUACGACCUACGGGUGAAAGCAGGGGAUCUUCGGACCUUGCGCGAUUGAAUGAGCCGAUGUCGGAUUAGCUAGUUGGCGGGGUAAAGGCCCACCAAGGCGACGAUCCGUAGCUGGUCUGAGAGGAUGAUCAGCCACACUGGAACUGAGACACGGUCCAGACUCCUACGGGAGGCAGCAGUGGGGAAUAUUGGACAAUGGGCGCAAGCCUGAUCCAGCCAUACCGCGUGGGUGAAGAAGGCCUUCGGGUUGUAAAGCCCUUUUGUUGGGAAAGAAAAGCAGCAGGUUAAUACCCCGCUGUUCUGACGGUACCCAAAGAAUAAGCACCGGCUAACUUCGUG